GGAGUUCGAAUAGAUAUUGGUUGUGCUCGAAAGGUUAUGAAUCGAUUUACAUGUCCAAUCCCAAUGUCUUGAUUUCUACUGGCAAUACAUCGUGUGCCCCUAUAUAUAUCAUCUACUAAUACACGACCCAUUAAUGUUUGGAUAACGUCUCGAGAUUCAGGCGAUUGCGGAUGAUAUAACUAGUAAAUACGUUCCUCCCCAUGUGAAUUUAUUUUAUUGUUCAGGGGGAAUUACGCUUACUUGUUUUUUAGUACAAGUAGCUGCGGGGUUUGCCUAUCGUCAUCACUG
rnacentral:lncRNA from 1 species